GCUACAGUUGUUAUUGUAAUAUGAAUGCAAGUUUAAAGGAGAAUUCUGGCCCAUUUUUACGUUAAUCUUCAUCACUAUAAU